rnacentral:rRNA from 1 species
CACGUAGGGCGCAAGCGUUGUCCGGAAUUAUUGGGCGUAAAGAGCUCGUAGGCGGUCUGUUGCGUCCGCUGUGAAAACUCGGGGCUUAACCCCGAGCCUGCAGUGGAUACGGGCAGACUAGAGGUAGGUAGGGGAGAAUGGAAUUCCCGGUGUAGCGGUGAAAUGCGCAGAUAUCGAGAGGAACACCUGCGGCGAAGGCGGGUUGCUGGGCUGAUACUGACGCUGAGGCGCGAAAGCCAGGGGAGCGAACGGG